GAUGAAGAACGUAGCGAAAUGCGAUAAAUAAUGUGAAUUGCAGAAUUCAGUGAAUCAUCGAGUCUUUGAACGCACAUUGCGCCCCCUGGUAUUCCGGGGGGCAUGCCUGUCCGAGCGUCAUUGCUGCCCUCAAGCACGGCUUGUGUGUUGGGCCCCCGUCCCCCCCUCCCGGGGGACGGGCCCGAAAGGCAGCGGCGGCACCGCGUCCGGUCCUCGAGCGUAUGGGGCUUUGUCACCCGCUCUGUAGGCCCGGCCGGCGCCUGCCGACCACCAUCAAUCUUUUUUCAGGUUGACCUCGGAUCAGGUAGGGAUACCCGCUGAACUUAAGCAUAUCAAUAAGAGGA
rnacentral:misc_RNA from 1 species